CAGCAGCAGCCACGGGAACACGUAGGGUGCGAGCGUUAAUCGGAAUUACUGGGCGUAAAGCGUGCGCAGGCGGUUAUAUAAGACAGAUGUGAAAUCCCCGGGCUCAACCUGGGACCUGCAUUUGUGACUGUAUAGCUAGGGUACGGUAGAGGGGGAUGGAAUUCCGCGUGUAGCAGUGAAAUGCGUAGAUAUGCGGAGGAACACCGAUGGCGAAGGCAAUCCCCUGGACCUGUACUGACGCUCAUGCACGAAAGCGUGGGGAGCAAACAGGAUUAGAUACCCGUGUAGUCCCUGUCUCUUAUAC
rnacentral:rRNA from 1 species